rnacentral:rRNA from 1 species
CCUACGGGAGGCUGCAGUGAGGAAUAUUGGUCAAUGGACGAGAGUCUGAACCAGCCAAGUAGCGUGAAGGAUGACUGCCCUAUGGGUUGUAAACUUCUUUUAUAUGGGAAUAAAAUGUUCCACGUGUGGGCUUUUGUAUGUACCAUAUGAAUAAGGAUCGGCUAACUCCGUGCCAGCAGCCGCGGUAAUACGGAGGGUCCGAGCGUUAUCCGGAUUUAUUGGGUUUAAAGGGAGCGUAGGUGGAUUGUUAAGUCAGUUGUGAAAGUUUGCGGCUCAACCGUAAAAUUGCAGUUGAAACUGGCAGUCUUGAGUACGGUAGAGGUGGGCGGAAUUCGUGGUGUAGCGGUGAAAUGCUUAGAUAUCACGAAGAACUCCGAUUGCGAAGGCAGCUCACUGGACUGCAACUGACACUGAGGCUCGAAAGUGUGGGUAUCAAACAGGAUUAGAUACCCUUGUAGUC